rnacentral:rRNA from 1 species
UCUGAAUCUGCGNACGGCUCCGCAAACCAGUUGUAAACUACAGCAAGCAAGCACGGGGGGUUGGCCUUCCCGGGUCGGUCCCUCGGGCGAUAUGGAUAACCCUGGUAAUUCUGAGGCUAAUACAAGAACGUAACCCAUGGUCGAGUGAGCCCUCGCCCUCGGGUGGGGAUACAAGGGAGGGUGGGAAGCGUGCGAGUAGUAUGUGAAUGAGAACCCAGAAUGGGCGCACGCUUGGUCCCCGGUACAAAGGAUCAUUACUCGGCAAUCCCUCCGGGGUGCGCUUUGUUUUGGCCCGAGCGGCUCUUGCGGUGUGCUUCUGACCUAUCAACUAGACGGCAGCGUAACGGACAUGCUAUGGUACAACGGGUACAG